rnacentral:rRNA from 1 species
GACAGAGGCCUCGAGCGUUAGGCGGAAUCACUGGGCUUAAAGCGUGUGUAGGCGGGCCCGUAAGUGUCUUGUGAAAUCCCACGGCUCAACCGUGGAACUGCUGGGCAUACUGCGGGUCUUGGGCCAACUAGGGGCAGCCGGAACAAGCGGUGGAGCGGUGAAAUGCGCAGAUAUCAGGAGGAACACCGAUGGCGAAGGCAGCUCGCUGGGACGGUACUGACGCUGAGGCGCGAAAGCGUGGGGAGCAAACAGG